rnacentral:rRNA from 1 species
GAUGAACGCUGGCGGCGUGCCUAAUACAUGCCAGUCGAGCGAACGGACGAGGAGCUUGCUUCUCUGAUGUUAGCGGCGGACGGGUGAGUAACACGUGGAUAACCUACCUAUAAGACUGGUAUAACUUCGGGAAACCGUAGCUAAUACCGGAUAAUAUCUUGAACCGCAUGGUUCAAAAGUGAAAGACGGUCUUGCUGUCACGUAUAGAUGGAUCCGCGCUGCAUUAGCUAGUUGGUAAGGUCACGGCUUUCCAAGGCAACGAUGCAUAGCCGACCUGAGAGAGUGAUCGGCCACACGGGAAGUGAGACACGGUCAUGACUACUAAGGGAGGCAGCAGUAGGGAAUCUUCCGCAAUGGGCGAAAGCCUGACGGAGCAACGCGGCGUGAGAGAUGAAGGUCUUCGGAUCGUAAAACUCUGUUAUUAGGGAAGAACAUAUGUGUAAGUAACUGUGCAGAUCUUGACGGUACCUAAUCAGAAAGCCACGGCUAACUACGUG